GGAGCUGUGCCUGAACACCUAAGGACCACUUUGAUAGAGUGACACACGAAGGCUAAAAUCCUUCCAGCCCCU
rnacentral:tRNA from 1 species